UCGAGCGAAUCAAUAGGAGCUUGCUCCUGUUGAUUAGCGGCGGACGGGUGAGUAACACGUGGGCAACCUGCCUGUAAGACUGGGAUAACUUCGGGAAACCGGAGCUAAUACCGGAUAAUCCUUUUCUACUCAUGUAGAAAAGCUGAAAGUCGGUUUCGGCUGACACUUACAGAUGGGCCCGCGGCGCAUUAGCUAGUUGGUGAGGUAACGGCUCACCAAGGCGACGAUGCGUAGCCGACCUGAGAGGGUGAUCGGCCACACUGGGACUGAGACACGGCCCAGACUCCUACGGGAGGCAGCAGUAGGGAAUCUUCCGCAAUGGACGAAAGUCUGACGGAGCAACGCCGCGUGAGUGAUGAAGGCCUUCGGGUCGUAAAGCUCUGUUGUUAGGGAAGAACAAGUAUCGGAGUAACUGCCGGUACCUUGACGGUACCUAACCAGAAAGCCACGGCUAACUACGUGCCAGCAGCCGCGGUAAUACGUAGGUGGCAAGCGUUGUCCGGAAUUAUUGGGCGUAAAGCGCGCGCAGGCGGUCCUUUAAGUCUGAUGUGAAGGCCCACGGCUCAACCGUGGAGGGUCAUUGGAAACUGGGGGACUUGAGUGCAGAAGAGGAAAGCGGAAUUCCACGUGUAGCGGUGAAAUGCGUAGAGAUGUGGAGGAACACCAGUGGCGAAGGCGGCUUUCUGGUCUGUAACUGACGCUGAGGCGCGAAAGCGUG
rnacentral:rRNA from 1 species